rnacentral:lncRNA from 1 species
GGGCGGCGGAGGGCUGGGAAAGGCCUCGGGCGGCACGGGGCCGACUCGCGUGGAAACCCCGGCGGGCGCCCGCGGGAGCGGCCGCUCCGAGGGAGGUGGCUGUCGUCCCGCCCCGGCCCCGUUCUGCCGGCGGUACGGCACGGGCGGCUGGGACAGAGGUGUGCGCGGCCGCAGGGCGGGCGCCGAGCUGAGAUUCUUACAUCGACAGUUACCGAUUUAAAGCUCUUGCGUUCAGCUGCCGCCUCUCACCGUCCUUCCAGCUUAACUGCUGUAUUUCCUAAGCGCUUGCACUAUUAAUUGUCCCAUUUCAGCCGUUCGUUCUUCUCACUUCAGAGAAGAAAUGACCCGACAAUAAAGCUGAAAGGCAAACUCACUGCAUGUAACUUCGAGUGUGACCAAAAGGUGUUGUACUGAGAAACACGGGUACCUGAGCAGCAGGAAGUCACAGGGCACCCAGGCUUUGUUGUUCUGAGAGCUCUGCUUGCUUGUGGAAGUUACUUCGGCACCAAAACGCCAUCGUACCUCAUGCUGAGAUGAGGAGGUUCUCAUAAACUGUUUCUUUAACUGGUAAGAUUCAGAUAUUCUGAGUAAUUCCUUGCCAGCAACCAGGACAUGCUUCUCUCUGGGUAUCCAAAGUGGCCAAAUUCACCAAGGCCACAGCUUGCUGCCAUUUCCUCAGGCUCAUGGUGACUCCCGCUUGUCACCACAGCUACACAGACCUGACUACAGAGCUGCAAGUGGAAGGAAAACCCAGCAUGCCUCUGGAAAUCACCCCUGUGAUUCACUGGGUGACAUUCCUCUGAGUAAGCAUCAAGCUCACGUCCAGUUUGAAGAUCGCUGUGCUUUAUGAAAUACAGAUACAUAAUGUACAUCCAAGACCACCAGUCAUGUCAUCUGCAAUUGUCUCUGCAGCAUCUAUGUUGGUAAGCCAAUAUCCCUGCCUGCUUCUACUCCAAGACAAAUGAGGCUUUGAUGCAAAGAGUACUCUCCAGCUUUUUGAUCAGGAGUUAAUCCACAAGCAAAUCUUACACAGCCUCAUACAAAAAUACAUUUGCAACUUACGUACCUGUACAACAUCCCGAUGUGCUGAUCCAUGACUGUAACAUUCUCCAGAAGAGGCACAUGCCCUACCACCUGUGCAGGAACAAACAACCUGAAAAGCACCUUGAGCUGCUGUGUCACAGAACAAAGACUCCUGGGUACACCUGCUUUGGACAUGGAAUGUGUGAACAUUGCUUGGAAAAAAUAGCUCAACUGUGAAUAGAUAUUUGAUAAAUAGGCCGUAGUCAUUAUGAUAUUAUCAAAUGCAAGCAAAUCCACAUCCUCAUCUUGGUGAAUUUAACAAGGGAAGAUGGC